UUUACAAACCCUCAAAGGGCUCCAUAAAUGGUAGCUAUUAUUAUUAUAAAUUUGGAGCCAAAAGGGCCCUUUAAGCCAUCUCAUCCAAUUCCCUUAGUUAAUGGAUGAGCAAGCCAGGGCUGGGAGAGGAAAUGUAACUUGCCCAGGAUCACCCAAGAUAUCAGGUGGCAGAAGAAGGAAUAGAGCCAGAUCUUCGUGAUUUGGCAAUCAAUGUUCUAUCCAGUACACUGUCACCUCCUUGGGCUGGAGCGGGGGGAGAGGAGGAGGGCGGAGGAGAAAGAGAGAGACAGAGAGAAUCAGUCUUGCUUUGAAAGUUUUGAGAACCUUUGGUUCUGUUUUAGAAAAGGACACAUGUUGCGUACUGCGCAGGAAAAAGUUAGAGGAAGCCCAUGAGUUAGGACUUCUAUGCAUUCAGGUUGUCAGAAAGCAGUAGCCUGCGAUGGCUGGGCAUACGAGCGUGAGUGCACACACGCGCGCACACACACACACACACAGUGUGACAGAUGACCUAUUGAAAUAAUUUCAGAGCAGCUCGGUGGUUGCUACGACAACCAAUGCUCUCUUGGCUUUCAUCUGGCCAUGUGACAGCGACUUUGACGUCAGCUGGAGGCAGAGUCUGUGGUUUAGUCCACCGAGCCAAAGGCUUGUGAGAAUCUCUUGGAUGCUGGACUUAUCUCCGCUCGCUGCCUCUGCUGCCACCGCUGCCGCCACUACCGCCGCCGCCGCCGCUACUGCUGCUGCUCCCGCAGCCACCGCUGCUUUCCAGGGGUUGUCGGAACAUGGACUAUUAAACUCCUGCAUUUCUUCCGUGUGAGACUUCCCCUCAUGCACUGUGUUCCAGCUGAACUAACUUACUUAGUAUUCUUUGUGGAUGACAAUUCAUCUCGUGCCCCUGUGCCUAGACUGCCCCCAGUACUAGGUAUGCAUUCCCUUCCACCUCCGAUUCUGAGAAUCCUUAGUUUCCCCUUAAGGCUCAACUCAAACAUUAUCUUCCAACAACAUCCAAUUGGAUAAUACCCCACAAAAAUUACUUUAUAUAAAGUUUAUGCUCAUUUCUAGGUACACAUUUUGUCUUUCCUCUCCACCCCAACCUCUAUGAGAAUGUUUGUUUCACCAGGAUUCUAGGAUUCUCCAAGAGUAUAAGUCGCGAAUUUGGUGCCUAUGUGCAUUGGUAAAGGGAAUUCCUUCAUUAGAAGUUCCCUGUAUCAAUGAAAAUCCAAGUCUAGUCCCCAACCCCACCUCCAGGACCUAGCACAGAAUCUAGCCCAUAGUCACCACUUAAUCGAUCCUUAUUGAAUUAAUUCAUCAUAAUUUGGAUAAUGUUUACCUAGAAGAGAUCUUAGAGGGCAUCAAAUCCAACUCCUUCAUGUUGUAUGACAAAGGAAACCAAGGCAUAGAGGAAAUAAAGUGACUUAUCCAAGAUCA
rnacentral:lncRNA from 1 species